rnacentral:rRNA from 1 species
CUACGGGGUGCUCCAGUCGAGGAAAUUUUACAAUGCUCGCAAGAGUGAUAAAAUAAGCCAGAGUGUUUCUCCUAGAGAAACUUUUGUAUGCUGUAAAAAGGCAUACGAAUAAGGACUGGGCAAGACCGGUGCCAGCCGCCGCGGUAAUACCGGCGGUCCGAUGUCGCAUCCACAUUUAUUGGGUCUAAAACAUUCGUAGCUUGUUUUGUAAGUCUCUUGUGAAAUCCUAUAUCUCAAGUAUAGGGCGUGCAAGAGAUACUACUUUACUAGAGACCGGAAGACGUAAGGAGUACGAUUAAGGUAGCGGUAAAAUGUGUUAAUCUUAAUCGGACUAACAAUGGCGAAGGCACCUUACGAGUACGGAUCUGACAGUGAGGGAUGAAGGCUAGGGGCGCAAAACGGAUUAGAUACCCUAGUAGUC